GCAGCAAUGUGAUAAUGGUAGUCGGCCCGCUUGGAAAGCGGGUGCUCCAAAAAGGAGUUGCAGGUUCGAGUCCUGCUUGCUGCGCCA
rnacentral:tRNA from 1 species